AUAGAGGAGGGUGGUAGAAGGUAGGCUCAAGUGUUGAUUCUGCUAGUGAGCGUAAUGGUAUAAGCCUGCCUGACUGUGAGACCGAGUGGUCGAACAGAGACGAAAGUCGGCCAUAGUGAUCCGGGAGUCCCGUGUGGAAGGGCUCUCGCUCAACGGAUCAAAGGUACGCCGGGGAUAACAGGCUGAUGACUCCCAAGAGCUCUUAUCGACGGAGUCGUUUGGCACCUCGAUGUCGAGAUCGGAAGAGCGUC
rnacentral:ncRNA from 1 species